UAGAGUCAUGAGGCAAUUCGGUCGACGCCAGUCUUUUCCUGUGUCUUCAGCGUUGGAUCGUGUUCAGCGCCACGAUCAUAGUUUAUCAAGGGCUGGACAUCCUUUCUCGACAAUGUGGGUCACUAGAUUACAACCAUGGGUGGCUGCGUGGGAUGAUGCAGACGAGCAGUUGGCUGAGGAUACCGGUCCACACACUGAGCCUUCGUUUCGGGCGUACCUGACCUGGUACGAACCGAAGACUCGUUGCCGUUUGACAUAUGUUGACAUGCAUCCACAGCCGCCUGUUGCGACUUCGCAGGAUCGCUAUGCACGACACAGGGAUGAGGCAUUAGCUGGGGCGUUCGAGGCAUGUAGGCUGCUUGAAUUAGAUUGCUCACUGAAUGUAAUGAGGAUUCAUGGCGGGUCUACGAUGAGCGUGCCGGCACAACUCGAGGCCUGGACCACUCAACGUGAUGGAGCCCGAGUUAUCCUUCAGGCCUUUGGUACGCGGACGGAGUACGAGGAUUCCUACGGAUCGUCGCAAGCGUCGACGUCGGUUCCUUGUGGUCCCGCAUGGCAGCAGCCUCCCUUAUACCACCGACAGUACUAAGGGUACGGGUACCCCGGUUCUCAGCCCUAUGGAGGGCCAGGUGCCUCGCAAGGGGCUCCAUUUCAAGGAACCCAGUUUACCUCUAUGCCACAUGCUGGAGGGACUUUAAGAUCACAACAGUUCACCGGAGCGGGGCCGUCUUCGUAUCACCCUAUGCCGUCACCAGGAGGAUAUGAAGGAGCUUCUU